rnacentral:rRNA from 1 species
GAUGAACGCUGGCGGCGUGCCUAAUACAUGCAAGUCGAGCGAACGGACGAGAAGCUUGCUUUUCUGAUGUUAGCGGCGGACGGGUGAGUAACACGUGGAUAACCUACCUAUAAGACUGGGAUAACUUCGGGAAACCGGAGCUAAUACCGGAUAAUAUUUUGAACCGCAUGGUUCAAAAGUGAAAGACGGUCUUGCUGUCACUUAUAGAUGGAUCCGCGCUGCAUUAGCUAGUUGGUAAGGUAACGGCUUACCAAGGCAACGAUGCUUAGCCGACCUGAGAGGGUGAUCGGCCACACGGGAACUGAGACACGGUCCAGACGCCUACGGGAGGCAGCAGUAGGGAAUCUUCCGCAAUGGGCGAAAGCCUGACGGAGCAACGCCGCGUGAGUGAUGAAGGUCUUCGGAUCGUAAAACUCUGUUAUUAGGGAAGAACAUAUGUGUAAGUAACUGUGCACGUCUUGACGGUACCUAAUCAGAAAGCCACGGCUAACUACGUG